GAAACAAGAAGCACAGCAGAAACACUCAGAGCAACUAUCAGUCCAACAGGUCCAUCCCCUGGGUGUCCUCCUGUCUGACCUGCAGAUCCACCCGGUUCUUAAAUGAUGGAUGCUGGUUUUCUGGAUCAAACUGCUCAUCCCGGAACAAAAGCACAUAUUGUGGCUUCAGUGUCUGUUCAGAAGACCACAGUCGUAGGAACAGCAGAGAUACUGUGUAGGACCCUCAAACUCCCAGACCUCUGGUAGAGGACCCAAACAUAAAGACUGCCCACAGGAAAUCGGCACGAUGAAGACAAACACCAAAGUUGAGCAGAGCAGCGUGCUUACGGAAGCCAUUAUGGAAGCCAUUAUGGAAGCAUU